CUGAAAGUCAGCUUGGAGCUUUUUUCACCAUAAUCCACUGCACAAUGCAGCUAUCACCUUGUCCCAGCAUUCAGGGUGAUACCAAUCCACAUCUGCUGAGGAUUUGACCCUUAGAGCUAUCUGACCAUUUUUGCUGACGCUUCGUUUACAAGGGCACAACAGAGGGACAUGAAUGACCGUGGUAUAAAGGAGCAAAUUCAUCCUGGGGACUACAACACUAAACACAG